GAUGAACGCUGGCGGCGUGCCUAAUACAUGCAAGUCGAGCGAACAGACCAGGAGCUUGCUCCUCUGACGUUAGCGGCGGACGGGUGAGUCACACGUGGAUAACCUACCUAUCAGACUGGGAUACCUUCGGGAAACCGGAGCUAAUACCGGAUAAUAUAUUGAACCGCAUUGGUCAAUAGUUAAAGACGGUUUUGCUGUCACUUAUAGAUUGAUCCGCGCCGCAUUAGCUAGUUGGUAAGGUAACGGCUUACCAAGGCAACGAUGCGUAGCCGACCUGAGAGAGUGGUCGGCCACACUGGAACAGAGACACGGUCCAGACUCCGACGGUAGGCAGCAGUAGGGAAUCUUCCGCAAUGGACGAGAGCCUGACGGAGCAACGCCGCGUGAGUGAUGAAGGUGUUCGGAUCGGAAAGCUCUGUUAGUAGUGAAGAACUAAUGUGUAAUUAACCAUGCACGUAUUGACGGUACCGGGUCAGAAAGCCCCGGCUAACUACGUG
rnacentral:rRNA from 1 species